AUUGCACGCUGGCGGCAGGCCUACCACAUGCAAGUCGAGUGGAGCGGCCGACGGUUGCGUAAUGCCUAGGAAUCUGCCUGGUAGUGGGGGAUAACGUCCGGCAACGGGCGCUAAUACCGCAUACUCUCCGAUGAGCCUAGGGCGAAUUAGCUAGUUGGUGGGGUAAAGGCCGACCAAGGCGACGAACCGUACCUGGUCUGAGAGGAUGAUCAGUCACACUGGAACUGAGACACGGUCCAGACUCCUACGGGAGGCAGCAGUGGGGAAUAUUGGACAAUGGGAGAAAGCCUGAUCCAGCCAUGCCGCGUGGGUGAAGAAGGUCUGCGGAGUGUAAAGCACUUUAAGUUGGGAGGCGUUACCAACAGAAUAAGCACCGGCUAACUUCGGGCCAGCAGCCGCGGUAAUUC
rnacentral:rRNA from 1 species